rnacentral:rRNA from 1 species
GACGAACGCUGACGGCGUGCUUAACACAUGCAAGUCGAACGGUAAGGCCCUUCGGGGUACACGAGUGGCGAACGGGUGAGUAACACGUGGGUGAUCUGCCCUGCACUUCGGGAUAAGCCUGGGAAACUGGGUCUAAUACCGGAUAGGACCACUGCCUGCAUGGGUGGUGGUGGAAAGCUUUUGCGGGGUGGGAUGGGCCCGCGGCCUAUCAGCUGGUUGGUGGGGUGAUGGCCUACCAAGGCGACGACGGGUAGCCGGCCUGAGAGGGUGAACGGCGGCACGGGUGCUGCGAUACGGCCCAGACGCCGACGGGAGGCAGCAGUGGGGAAUAUUGCACAGUGGGCGCAAGCCUGAUGCAGCGACGCCGCGUGAGGGAUGACGGCCUUCGGGUUGUAAACCUCUUUCAGCACCGACGAAGCGCAAGUGACGGUAGGUGCAGAAGAAGGACCGGCCAACUACGUGCCAGCCGCCGCAGUAA